AGCGAACGCUGGCGGCAGGCUUAACACAUGCAAGUCGAGCGGGCACUUUCGGGUGUCAGCGGCGGACGGGUGAGUAACGCGUGGGAACGUGCCCUCUGGUUCGGAAUAACUCAGGGAAACUUGAGCUAAUACCGGAUACGCCCUUUUGGGGAAAGGCUUGCUGCCGGAGGAUCGGCCCGCGUCUGAUUAGCUAGUUGGUGAGGUAACGGCUCACCAAGGCGACGAUCAGUAGCUGGUCUGAGAGGAUGAUCAGCCACACUGGGACUGAGACACGGCCCAGACUCCUACGGGAGGCAGCAGUGGGGAAUAUUGGACAAUGGGCGCAAGCCUGAUCCAGCCAUGCCGCGUGAGUGAUGAAGGCCUUAGGGUUGUAAAGCUCUUUUAUCCGGGACGAUAAUGACGGGACCGGAGGAAUAAGCCCCGGCUAACUUCGU
rnacentral:rRNA from 1 species